UACGUAGGGGGCAAGCGUUGUCCGGAAUCAUUGGGCGUAAAGCGCGUGUAGGCGGUCCGUUAAGUCGGCUGUGAAAGUCCAGGGCUCAAACCCUGGGAUGCCGGUCGAUACUGACGGACUAGAGUUCGGAAGAGGCGAGUGGAAUUCCCGGUGUAGCGGUGAAAUGCGCAGAUAUCGGGAGGAACACCAAUGGCGAAGGCAGCUCGCUGGGACGUUACUGACGCUGAGACGGCGAAAGCGUGGGGAGCAAACAGG
rnacentral:rRNA from 1 species